GCAAUACAAACCCUUAGAUUAGUUUAUCUAACGAUCACAACUCAUUUGUGCUUCUCUUCUUUGUUUCAUUCUCUCUCUCUCUCAUACCUCUUUCCCUUCCCCUUCCCCUUCCCCUUCCCCUUCGAGUUUUAAUCUUCUAUUCUUCUCAACUAUUAUUUCUUGAAGUUUGGAUAUUGAGCUUGAUUUAGCAAUCCGCCUUCGACUCGGCCUCUGGUGCCUUCAACACCUCCUCUGGCGCCUUCAAUUCCAGACUCUGCUGCUGCAUUUUAAAAAAGUAACGAGACUGUUGGGACAGGUGGGGAGAGCUUUCUCAGAGAUGAAAACGGCAACGAAGCUCAAGCACCACCGUCUUCAAUGCCAACAUAUUGUGAUGCUCCUCUGCCUGAUGACGAAGCCCAGAGACCGGACGUUUUUGAUUGGGUCGAGGUGAAGCUCUCCAAAUCCGCCUCUCAAGACUCUAACUCCACCGCGUCUCUGAAGAAGAGGACAGAGGAUGAAAUAGAAGAGGAGAGAAAAUGAAAAAGACCAACACCGGAUCUGACAAAGCUUUGGUGUGGAGAUGGCAGAGGAAGCCAAUGGUGGUGGUUGAGGUGGAGCCGAGCAAGAAGAAGAAGAUGAAGAGAGGUGGAGUAGGAGAGAAGUCAAGAGACACGACGGCUUAGUAGGUUUAGGUUUAGUUGUUUGGUUUAGUUUGGUUAACUUUGAUGUACCGGUUUUACAUUUGUAACAAUUUCGAUAUAUAAAUUUUUUUAAUUUUUAA